ACACUUCAAUCACCACUUGCUCAUUCCCUCCUCUUCAAUGGGUUGCUCAAUCUUCAGCCCUAAAGUUGAGAGCUCCAAGGCAGAUUGGGAGCUCAUCGUCUUCAAAUUUUGGUGCCUCUCUCUCGCUGUAAUCGAUCUCCGUAAUCAACCUGGAUGUCCAAAGGGUGUCACACCUAAGUACAACUUGAAGCCUCUUGUGCCAAUGCUGUUUGAUAUAAAACAUGACAUUGAUGUUGAGGAAAUGCUUUUUUAGAUAUUCUCUUUGAAGAAACUGUUGUUAUUUUUCAUUUGAACGGUUACUACUUUGAUUUGAAUUUGGAAACUUUCAGUUUUAAUUUUUGUAAAAUUUUACUUUUUAUAUACUCAUUGUGGUUUGGGAAUAAAAUGUUUUUGAUGUGUGGAUGUCAA